ACUUUACCAAACACACCCACCGGCUACAACUUACUUUUUCUGUAUUAAUUUAAAAAAAAUCUCUCGGUAGCUUACUUACCCUUUGAAAAUCUGCAAUCGCUACAGAUAAAACCGCAGAUUGUUAAUUGCUCGUCGUUAAAAUUUCAGCCCAUUCGGAAUACUAAAACUUGAGAUACGGAGCCUCAAACUUGAGCGUUUUGUAUGGAAAAAUAGCAGUUGGAUACAAACUUUUGUCACUGACUGUAAGUAGUAAAGGCGGUUGCAUUGAAACUCUCUGGACAAGCGUUGCGUGAGUUACAAUACCACACAGUGUCAGUUCCCGAUCGGCUCCCGAUUCGAAUUAACACGUCGUCGUUGGCGUCGUCAAAUAGGUGAUGAUGAUAUCCGCGCGAUACGCGAGACGCGGUUCAAAUUACUUAGAAGCUUGUGAAGUUCGACGCGUCUAACGAUAAAGCUGAUCAUCAUUCGGCGGCGUGCAAUUGUUUGCAAAACUGUUGUUGUGGAGGUCUCUUAUCUGGUUGGCAUCAGUUUUCUCAAGUCAUUGGUUGUGUGGCAGCUACUAGGAAAAAGUAGCAAAGUACCUCGGUACUGCUUGGGUGUACAACGUGUUUAACAACAAUGUGAAUGUGUCAGCAAAUACAACUGUGUAUUUAUCCGCGUCAGGAAGUUGGCCGGUAGCGCAAUUCAACAGCUGACCUACCAAACGAAGCGACACGACGUUGAAUAUCAAAAAUGCAGGAUAAGGUGGAUGGAGACAAAAGCCGAUAACCAGUGCAAAAAAACCGUGAAUCAUGCGGUGAGUUUGUUAUCAAGAAAAGCGUGUGCUUUGGAGGUGAUUGUUUAAGAUUUCUUUGAAUAAAUAAGUAAACGGUAAAGAAUUCCAUGAAGUGUGGUCUGCAUCUGAAAAAACAAGACGUUAAUUGAGCAGUAUCGAAGAAAGUGUGCCUACAAGUUGGAUAGGUGUGUAACAAGUUUCAAAUCGAAAAAAGUGAGCUGCAUACAUAAUGAUUGGAGCUGACACCUAUUUGGAUUGUGAGAAUUCUCGACCUGCCGUCUAAUGCACGGGACAACGACUGGAGCAACAUGGGUAAAAC
rnacentral:lncRNA from 1 species